UUGGUCCAAUCCAUAGAAUUAGGAAUUAAAAUACAAAUAUUUGUUAUUCACAUAAAAGAGUGUGGCACAUUCUAAACCAAAUGCUUUCCUUCAUUUCAUGAACAUCUUCCAACUUCUGGCUUCCGGUUUGGACCACAAAAACAACAUAAUAGAAUUAGGAAUUAGAUAGGAUCUCUAUGAUUACUCCGUGGCAUUCGUCGCCUAGGAACGAAAUGUCAACCUUGCUUUCCAAAACAUUAUUUGCUAGCUAGCUAACAGACUAGCUGAAAACCUGUAGGCAAGCUAGCUAGGUACUGACCGUCCGCAGACUUGAACAACAGACUCUCUAGUUUGACCCCCUGCCGAUCUAGAGUAAGAAGACAGCCACUGUGGUCCUCAUGUUCAAUUCCCCUGAAGAGGUUUUGGCUAAAGCUUGCGAAGCCAUCCACAAAUUUGCAGGGAAAGGUAUUUUUACCGUUGAUGUUGGUGAGAGAACUAACGUCAUAGCAAUAUGGUAUCCUUUCUUCAUUGAAAUAAUCACAUUAUCUGAAAAAAACUGGAUUGUGGAAAGAUUUGCAAUGAAAGUGAUAUAUUCAUUUGACCCUGGACCAAAGCUUGGGAGCAGCUUACCUAUUGAGCAUAAAGCCAUCUCUAUCUAUCAAUCUAUCUAUCUCUUUCUUGCUCUCUCUCUUUCUCUCUCCCCCACAAUCUCACUCCCUGUCUCUCUGUCUCCCCAUUGUGGUAGGUGACGAAAACAGGAGCUCUCUGCUGGGGCUGGGGGCAGUGGAGCCUCUACCUCACCUCAUAUCCCACGAAGACAAGCUGGUCCACCCCAACGCCUUCAUGGCCCUGGGGGUCAUGGCUGCCAACAGUGAUGUAAAAAUACUUCUGAAGAAACUGGAAGUCAUUCAUUCUGUCAUCGGAAAGCUGUCACCUGAAAAGGUCCAUGAGUUGUGCCUGGCCUCCCUGUUGGUGGACUUCAGCUGCUGUCCAGCCCUGACCCAGAUGUCAAGAAGAACUCUGAGUCUAUCUACAUCCUGGUGCAGGACCUCACCAGCCGCGUGGCUGUGCGUGAACUAAAUGGCGUUCCCCCGCUCCUGGAGCUGAGAUCUGAGAUCCCGGUCAUUCAGCAGCUUGACCUGAGGACCCUGGCAAGCGUAACCACGGAUAACGACAUACAAGUCACCUUCAGGGAGGAGCAGGGCUUUGACAGGAUGCUGGAGUUCCUCUGCAACAAGGUGUUCAGUGAUCUGCAUGUAGAAGCUCUCCAGGUGGUCUCUAUCUGUUUGGAGGACAGAGACAGUCUCCAGCUGAUCCAUGAGUGUUGUGAAUGAGACGAUGGUGGGGGAGUCAUGAGGUCUCACUGUGUGUGUGUGUGUCUCAGUAAUGUCUGAGGCUGAGGGAGAUGAGGGUUUAGUUCAGCAGCUCCAUCACAUGAUUCCCGGUGCGGUGGCUCAUGCUGCGGUCGUUCUCACCAACAUGGCCGAACAGGAAUUCCUGCGCGGCAGCAUUCUGUCCAGCGAUGGCCGCACUCCUGGAGCCACUGCAGUCAGCAGACACACACACUUGUCAGAGCCAUGCAGGCCAUCGCUGCUCUCGCCUGCGAUGCUGAGGAACAGGCAGACAUGAGUGUGUCUUUGUCCGUAGUGUGGGUUUCACACCUGGGUCAAAUAUAUACAAUUCUUGAGUUUUCCCGGUACGAUGGAACCAAUGGAAUAGUCCCAAAAGUACAAACUCCCUCCUCUCAUUCCAUCUCUUCCUGUUAAGCUGAGGAAUGCGGGAGGCUUUGUCCCAUUGGUCAAACUGCUACGGUCCAAUCACAACGUGUGCGCCAACGAUGAGCCCAUUGCUGUGGAAAUGUGCAAGCUGAGGCUUGUUCUGGCCAGAGGAUAUUGACUCUAGAGGAUCUGUCUAAACAGCCAGUCAACCAGCGACGGCCUGUCAUUGCUAUGUAUUUGCAACGCCAUGCUCUACCAACUGAGCUACAUCCCUG